AGAGUUUGAUCCUGGCUCAKAUUGAACGCUGGCGGUACGCUUUACACAUGCAAGUCGAACGGAUUAAKAAGSUUGCUUCUUAKUUAGUGGCGAACGGGUGAGUAAUAUAUCGGAACAUAUCCGGAAGUGGGGGAUAACGUAKSGAAAGUUACGCUAAUACCGCAUAUGCCCUGAGGGGGAAAGGGGGGGAUUCGUAAGAACCUCUCGSUUUCGGAGUGGCCGAUAUCGGAUUASCUAGUAGGUGAGGUAAAGGCUCACCUAGGCGACGAUCCGUARCUGGUCUGAGAGGACRACCAGCCACACUGGAACUGAGACACGGUCCASACUCCUACGGGAGGCAGCAGUGGGGAAUUUUGGACAAUGGGCGAAAGCCUGAUCCAGCCAUACCGCGWGAGUGAAGAAGGCCUUCGGGUUGUAAAGCUCUUUCAGCCGGAAAGAAAUUGCUUCUAUUAAUACUAGGAGUAGAUGACGGUACCGGAAGAAGAAGCACCGGCUAACUACGUGSCAGCAGCCGCGGUAAUAC
rnacentral:rRNA from 1 species